rnacentral:tRNA from 1 species
GGCCCCAUCGUCUAGUGGUCUAGGACGCAACCUUCUCAAGGUUGAGAUCAGGGGUCCGAAUCCCCUUGGGGCUA